GAUGAACGCUGGCGGCGUGCCUAAUACAUGCAAGUCGAGCGAACGGACGAGAAGCUUGCUUCUCUGAUGUUAGCGGCGGACGGGUGAGUAACACGUGGAUAACCUACCUAUAAGACUGGGAUAACUUCGGGAAACCGGAGCUAAUACCGGAUAAUAUUUUGAACCGCAUGGUUCAAAAGUGAAAGACGGUCUUGCUGUCACUUAUAGAUGGAUCCGCGCUGCAUUAGCUAGUUGGUAAGGUAACGGCUUACCAAGGCAACGAUGCAUAGCCGACCUGAGAGGGUGAUCGGCCACACUGGGACUGAGACACGGUCCAGACUCCGACGGGAGGCAGCAGUAGGGAAGCUUGGGAAAUGGGCGGAAGCCUGACGGAGCAACGCCGCGUGAGUGAUGAAGGUCUUCGGAUCGUAAAACUCUGUUAUGAGGGAAGAACAUAUGUGGAAGUAACUGUGCACAUCGUGACGGUACCUAAUGAGAAAGCAACGGCUAACUACGUG
rnacentral:rRNA from 1 species